GACGAACCGUGCGAACGUUAUUCGGAAUCACUGGGCUUAAAGCGCGUGUAGGCGGGACGCACGUCGGUCGCUGAAAUCCCCCGGCUUAACCGGGGAACUGGCGUCGAUACGACCGGCCCUGGAGGGGCGUAGGGGGACCGUGGAACUUCCGGUGGAGCGGUGAAAUGCGUUGAGAUCGGAAGGAACGCCCGUGGCGAAAGCG
rnacentral:rRNA from 1 species